CGCUGGCGGCGUGCUUAACACAUGCAAGUCGAGCGAUGAAGCACCUUCGGGUGUGAAUUAGCGGCGAACGGGUGAGGAACACGUGAGAAAUCUGCCUUCAACUCUGGGAUAACUCCGUGAAAACGGGGCUAAUACCGGAUAUGAGAUCUACAGGCAUCUGUGGAUCUGGAAAGUUUUUCGGUUGAAGAUGAUCUCGCGGCCUAUCAGCUUGUUGGUGAGGUAAUGGCUCACCAAGGCGACGACGGGUAGCCGGCCUGAGAGGGCGACCGGCCACACUGGGACUGAGACACGGCCCAGACUCCUACGGGAGGCAGCAGUGGGGAAUAUUGGGCAAUGGAGGAAACUCUGACCCAGCGACGCCGCGUGCGGGAUGAAGGCCUUCGGGUUGUAAACCGCUUUCAGCAGGGAAGAAGCGAAAGUGACGGUACCUGCAGAAGAAGCACCGGCUAACUAUGUG
rnacentral:rRNA from 1 species